rnacentral:rRNA from 1 species
AACGAACGCUGGCGGCAUGCCUAACACAUGCAAGUCGAACGAGACCUUCGGGUCUAGUGGCGCACGGGUGCGUAACGCGUGGGAACCUGCCCUUAGGUUCGGAAUAACUCCCCGAAAGGGGUGCUAAUACCGGAUAAUGUCUUCGGACCAAAGAUUUAUCGCCUUUGGAUGGGCCCGCGUUGGAUUAGCUAGUUGGUAGGGUAAAAGCCUACCAAGGCGACGAUCCAUAGCUGGUCUGAGAGGAUGAUCAGCCACACUGGGACUGAGAGACGGCCCAGACUCCUACGGGAGGCAGCAGUGGGGAAUAUUGGACAAUGGGCGAAAGCCUGAUCCAGCAAUGCCGCGUGAGUGAUGAAGGCCUUAGGGUUGUAAAGCUCUUUUACCCGGGAUGAUAAUGACAGUACCGGGAGAAUGAGCUCCGGCUAACUCCGUG